GCUAACCAGAGCUUUUCUGUCUUUAUUUGCUUUAUGGGGCAGUGGAAAUGGAGGGGAGGGGGCGAAACACCCCAGGGUUAGCCUGAGUGCGAAUCCUAAGCUCCUGAGCCGCACAGUUGACCGUCUAAAGCCAUGGUUUUCAACACAUGGUCCAUGCAUCACAACUAUGAUCAAUCAAAAGUAUGUGGGCAUCCACCCUUACAAUUCGAAGGGGUCUGUACCUCCAUUUGAAGUUUCUUAAGGGUCCGCCAAUGAAAAAAGGUUGGAAGCCACCAGUCUAAAGCAAAACUCAUUUCAUUAUCAGGUCUUUCCUGGAAAUGCUUCUGGGUGUCUGGGAGAGCCGUGUCAGCCACGGUGAAUUUCUGGUAAAGGAUUUCUGCUCUGCUGCACUUGUAGCGUAUUUGAGCCAUUCACAAAGGCGGGUGAAUUAUGCUAGGUCUGCUUUGCAUGCAGGACUCCCUCCUAAAAGGAUAUAAUGACGCGAGCUGGUACUUAUGAGCGUGUAGGUGUUUCCGAUUUUAUCAGUCUAUACAGUGGAGACCUGCUUUCCACCGCUGCCGCCGCCAUUAUCAGAAAGAGGUAGUUGCCACCAUUAUCAGAAAGAGGUCGUUAAGUGUGUUGGUCUGACGUCAAGGAGAAGGCAAGGUGCUGGAUUUGCUGUGACCCACGCGCGGGCUGGUGCAGACGUGCUCCUGCGCUGCCACGUGCAGCGUCCAAGGGGGUUCAGCCUUUUGGACGUUACUAUCAACUGGCAACAGCCGGGCGCUGUCGUGCACAGCUUCUACAAAGGCACAACCCACCCGGAGCACCAGGGCGAGAGAUACCAGGGCAGAACCCAGCUCUUCCCAGCCGAGUUCCCGAAGGGCAAUACCUCCCUCCUGCUGAGGGGGGUGACCCCCAGCGACUCGGGGAAUUACUCCUGCUACGCGGUUCUCGGUGCCAACACCCCUCUGACUGCUUGCACUGUGGAGCUCCAGGUGACAGGUAGGACCCUUGUUCCCCUGUCAUUGCUUUCAUUGCUGCUGCUCCUCAGAUGCAAAAUAGAGCAAGGGCUGGGCAAUUAGCAUCUCACUCUCUGCUUCCCUGUCGCUUCCUCUGCAUCCCUUGUGAACAGAGUCUGUCUGCUGCUGACUGUGGUUUUGCUAAGAGUUUGAACAAUAGAUUUGUCUGGGAGGGUUUAGACAGGGCUGAUCCUGCCUCGGGCAGGAGGCUGAACUAGAUGUGACCUCCAGAGGUCCCUUUCAGCCCCGCUUUUGUAGGACGCUGCGCAAGUUCUAACAGUGACCCCAGCGUGACUCUGGAUGUGUCAUGGAAAGCCAGUGUUGAUCGCCAUUUAGAGUCCGAAUUGCAAUGAAAGGCUCCUGUAGAAGCUGAAGUCAGAACAAAAAAAACAAGCAGCAAUGUCCUUAAUGUUUAAGACAACCACUGAAAGAAACAAGAAGAGAGGCUGCAUUGGAGCUAGUGGAGGCAUUCACUGCUGCCAACAUACCUUUGAAAAAAUCAAUAACUCGAAACUAAAGGAGUCCUUCAACAAGCACGACCCAAAUGCUGGCAGUUUCCCACAUGCAAACAAACUUUGCCAGGGUUAUCAACCAGGAAUAAUUGCUUUGCACGUUCAAUCUACAACAUCUGCUUUGGCAGAAUAUGAAUCAGUCUUGAUUGUGGCAUACAAAGCAACAGAUGCAUGGGAUAACUAUGUACUCCCAAUUUUAUUUGUACCUGGGAACUGGAAAGACUAUGACUGGACAGAUGCACAGGAUAACUAUGCGCUCCACUUGUUAUUUGUACCUGAGAGCUGGAAAGACCACGACCUGCCCGUUUUGUACAAAAUGUACAUACCUGUAUGUUUUUCAAGUGUAGCACAAGCUGUAGCAAAGGCGGUUGUAACCUACAUCUCAGGAUUUAGCAAGAUCUCAGCAUUUCCCUCUGAUAACGCAAUGCAGAUGUGUGACACUUUCUCUGAUGUGCUCCAUGCAACAAUGCCCAAAGCAAUU